rnacentral:lncRNA from 10 species
UUUGCCUGGCCAUGGAGUCUAGUUCCAGAUGGAAACAGAAUCCCAUCAAAGCCAUUAUGAUGGUGUGAGACUUUUGAGGCAGAGGUUAACGUCAUUUCUGGGGGACUUGGAGGUAGGUCAUUCACACAUGGUGGAGACAGGAAUCUACAGACCAGGGAUCAGCCCCAAGGCUAUGAUCUUUGUGCUGCGCCGCUCUACCCCUGAGCAGACAGGCCAGAGGUCCAGAGAGGGCUGUGCUGGCAGAGUUCAUACUUUGAUAACUGAACCCUAGAGUAAGCCUGCCCUG